GUGUUGUAACAAAUUAUUUUAUUUUGAUUCAUAUAUCAUAUCAAAUAUAAAAUAUAGAUUUCUAAAAUAUUUUCAUCUCAAAUGAACAUUCAAACCAGAAUUUGAGUCUGAUUCUAGUUGUCAAAGUCUCAAUUGGAGUGCUACAACGAGGUCUUUUAUAUCUCAAUUAAGUGAAAUGAAAAUUUCGCUAACUCGUGGACUGUCUUUGAAACGUAGUAAUCAAUCCCGAAAUACGAUAUGGAAUAUGAAAUCAAUAUACGUCAAAAACUUUCCGUUUACAUUGAGCAAACCUGCCCCCUCUUCAGAUUAUAGUUCCUGUUUCCAAUUUAAACAAUAGUCGCGUGCGUCACAGUGCCAUCGGCGUAUUCUAAAUUGAUUUACCCCCCAAGUCAAUUCAGAACCAACUGAAAACAUUUUCAAGCUCAGUGACUUCUAUGCAAACGUUAACCAACCACUUAAUCGCCUUAGAGCGGUAAUCAAAGGCGCUAAACGGCUUAUGGUUAACUUAAUAAUUCAACAAGAGAAUUCAGUAUAACAUUAAUUCAUUUCAGAUGGAACUAAUUGCAUUCAAUUAAAUAGUUUAAGAGCAUAAGAGACCAGAGUAAACAAUAUUGUUAACUAGAAUUUCAGCAAUUCAAAAAGGACCUUAAAUUUAUUAAGUGGUCAUGAGCGCAUAGCAAGGAUGUUUGCAAACGGAGGGAAUUAUGUAACACAGUGGGUAAAGGCCACACAACACACAAAAACUGUGACCUUGACAGCCAAGCAGAAACGGGCAGCAAGACGGGCAUUGCACAAACCCAAUAUACUCAAAGACUUUUCUGAAUGAGUUUCCGAAAUAAUUUUCAUAAAGUUAGCUUUUGGUAUAUAAAUAUUGACUGCUGUCGAUAAUAAUUUAUGGAAUUAUGAUCUGUGAUGUGGCACCUGGGGGCAGUACUUGAGCGCUAAAUGGAAUUGACGUAUCCGUUCAACUGUUGAAUAUUAACUUUGACUUUUCGUUUUUGCAUUCACAUUUGUUUUGCUUUUUUUCAGUUUUCAUAUAAAUUGUAAAUAUUUUUGAACAGAAUUUAGGGGUCUGUGGCCGUUGGCCAUGCGUCCAGACUGCGUCAAAUUCAAGUUCAGGUUUGAAAUGGCAAAAAAGAAAACAUUUAAAGGUCAGGCGAGAAAGUGGGUUAUAUAUAGUUGCUAGAUACUCUGUACUGAGAGAGCGAUAAGAGAGUAUAAUAGAAAUUUGUUACUAUAUGAUCAAGUUUUAUUUCGAUAAAUUGAGUAAUUGUGUAUUGAAUCUGAGACGAUCUGCUCAUCUUUAAGGCUAAUUUUUAGACAGUGGAACAGACGUAUCUGAAACUGAAAAUUAUACCUAUACAUCGAAUCUAUUCGUAUUUCGUAUAAAUAUUUUUUCUUGUGUCUCACUUACAAAUUUUAAAAUAUACAAUUUCUUUAUCUAAUCAAUUUGGUAGUUAUUGCCUUUCUUAGAUACUUAACGGCUCUAGGGUAUACAAAAAGCAAUUUUAAUAUUCAAAACGCCAUUUGUUUAUGGCCAAUAGACGGAUUUAUUUUUUGGACGCCUACCAAGAAAAUGUUUGUCUUUGUGGCAGCAAAAAAAAUAGAUAUUCAAAAUGCAUUUCAGAAAUGCAUUCGACUGCACAUACUAUAUGCCGCAGCUGUGUGUUACUAUAUGAACAGAUCGAUAAAUAAAUAUAUGCAUAUGAAUUAAAAGCCAAAUUCAAAUGAAGCACACUUUGACCUUAGGGCCAGGCCGAAUCGAUAGCCACACGCGCAGAGACAAUUACGAUGUGUUGCUCUGGCUGGGCAUGCAAUAGUUUUCCCCCACAUUUAUAAUAAUGGUAAUAAUAAUAAUAAUAAUGUGAUUAAUUUCCAAGCAAAUCAUUGUAAAGAUGCAAAACUGCAACAAGCAUCAGCAAAUUCUCAAUACAUGCAGCCCCAUACAUAUAACCGGUUGCGGGCGGAUUAUGAACCAGUUCAAUGUAGCUCUCCAGCCAAGAUGGCAAAGUUCCGCUACGGAACUUGGUCAAAAUGAAGCACUGCAGCUGCCAACAAACACAAAUUUUUAGUGAAAUUCAAUUUGAAAAACAAUUUCUAUAUGCCUGGCGUGUUUAUGUGCACUGAAUUCAACCUAGAAAUGCGCGGAAAGUCUAGACUGAGUGCUCGAAAUUGCAAUAGACAUUAAUAUAAUAUUUAUACAUUUUUUAAACAUUUUAUUUUUAUAUUAAAUAAAAUAUUUUAAUUUAGUUCAAAACGUAACUCAUGCAACAUUUUCUCUCAGUGUAUGUAAAUAUAUUUUAUCAUUCGAAGGCAUUCAGUCAAACUUCCGUUCUCCGCAACAUUUGAACAACUGAACUUUCUGGCUUCAAGAAGGGAUUCGUUGCCCUGGAGAUGGAAAAGGUCAUAAAAUGACUAUUCAAAGCAAUUAAAUUUUAUUUAUCCUUGACUAGGUAUAAAGUGGCACGCAGCUAAGACAAAGGCUAAAACUGCGCCCUAGCAGGAGUCCACUGUACAUGGCAACCCAAACGGAACUCAACAGCUGCAACCCCGACACGAUCAGAGACCUUGCAGCAGCUAAUAUACCUGGAAAUAGGCAGGGGAGUUUUUUUUUUCUAUUUUGUAUUUUGGUAUAGGUCGUCUGUGAACUGUUGGCGGCGGCGCUCGGCGGCUCGGCAGCUCGGUUUCUGUUAUCAGUGGGAGAACAACAAUGUCGCAAAGAAAUCAAUGCAAAUGACCGGAAUAAAAAUAUUUUGGAAUGCGAAACACAGUUUCCAGCAAAAAAAAAAAAAAAAAUGAGG